GAUGAACGCUAGCUACAGGCUUAACACAUGCAAGUCGAGGGGCAGCAUUUCAGUUUGCUUGCAAACUGGAGAUGGCGACCGGCGCACGGGUGAGUAACACGUAUCCAACCUGCCGAUAACUCGGGGAUAGCCUUUCGAAAGAAAGAUUAAUACCCGAUGGUAUAAUCAGACCGCAUGGUCUUGUUAUUAAAGAAUUUCGGUUAUCGAUGGGGAUGCGUUCCAUUAGGCAGUUGGUGAGGUAACGGCUCACCAAACCUUCGAUGGAUAGGGGUUCUGAGAGGAAGGUCCCCCACAUUGGAACUGAGACACGGUCCAAACUCCUACGGGAGGCAGCAGUGAGGAAUAUUGGUCAAUGGGCGCAGGCCUGAACCAGCCAAGUAGCGUGAAGGAUGACUGCCCUAUGGGUUGUAAACUUCUUUUAUAUGGGAAUAAAGUUUUCCACGUGUGGAAUUUUGUAUGUACCAUAUGAAUAAGGAUCGGCUAACUCCGUGCCAGCAGCCGCGGUAAUACGGAGGAUCCGAGCGUUAUCCGGAUUUAUUGGGUUUAAAGGGAGCGUAGGUGGACAGUUAAGUCAGUUGUGAAAGUUUGCGGCUCAACCGUAAAAUUGCAGUUGAUACUGGCUGUCUUGAGUACAGUAGAGGUGGGCGGAAUUCGUGGUGUAGCGGUGAAAUGCUUAGAUAUCACGAAGAACUCCGAUUGCGAAGGCAGCUCACUGGACUGCAACUGACACUGAUGCUCGAAAGUGUGGGUAUCAAACAGGAUUAGAUACCCUGGUAGUCCACACAGUAAACGAUGAAUACUCGCUGUUUGCGAUAUACAGUAAGCGGCCAAGCGAAAGCAUUAAGUAUUCCACCUGGGGAGUACGCCGGCAACGGUGAAACUCAAAGGAAUUGACGGGGGCCCGCACAAGCGGAGGAACAUGUGGUUUAAUUCGAUGAUACGCGAGGAACCUUACCCGGGCUUAAAUUGCAUUUGAAUAUAUUGGAAACAGUAUAGCCGUAAGGCAAAUGUGAAGGUGCUGCAUGGUUGUCGUCAGCUCGUGCCGUGAGGUGUCGGCUUAAGUGCCAUAACGAGCGCAACCCUUAUCUUUAGUUACUAACAGGUCAUGCUGAGGACUCUAGAGAGACUGCCGUCGUAAGAUGUGAGGAAGGUGGGGAUGACGUCAAAUCAGCACUGCCCUUACGUCCGGGGCUACACACGUGUUACAAUGGGGGGUACAGAAGGCAGCUACCUGGUGACAGGAUGCUAAUCCCAAAAGCCUCUCUCAGUUCGGAUCGAAGUCUGCAACCCGACUUCGUGAAGCUGGAUUCGCUAGUAAUCGCGCAUCAGCCAUGGCGCGGUGAAUACGUUCCCGGGCCU
rnacentral:rRNA from 1 species